GUAGGUGGCAAGCGUUGUCCGGAAUUAUUGGGCGUAAAGCGCGCGCAGGCGGUUCUCUAAGUCUGAUGUGAAAGCCCACGGCUCAACCGUGGAGGGUCAUUGGAAACUGGAGAACUUGAGUACAGAAGAGGAAAGCGGAAUUCCACGUGUAGCGGUGAAAUGCGUAGAGAUGUGGAGGAACACCAGUGGCGAAGGCGGCUUUCUGGUCUGUAACUGACGCUGAGGCGCGAAAGCGUGGGGAGCAAACAGGAUUAGAUACCCUGGUAGUCCACGCCGUAAACGAUGAGUGCUAAGUGUUAGGGGGUUUCCGCCCCCCUUAGUGCUGCAGCUAACGCAUUAAGCACUCCGCCUGGGAGUACGGCCGCAAGGCUG
rnacentral:rRNA from 1 species